UUUGGCCUACGGGGGGCAGCAGUGAGGAAUAUUGGUCAAUGGCCGGAAGGCUGGACCAGCCAAGCCGCGUGAGGGACGAAGGUGCCAAGCAUUGUAAACUUCUUUUGUCAAGGGACAAAAUCAGGCUCGAGAGCCUGACCGAGGGUACUUGAAGAAAAAGCAUCGGCUAACUCCGUGUCAGCAGCCGCGGUAAUACGUAGGGAGCGAGCGUUGUCCGGAUUUACUGGGUGUAAAGGGUGCGCAGGCGGCUCUGCAAGUCAGGCGUGAAAGCUAGGGGCUCAACCCCUAAACUGCGCUUGAAACUG
rnacentral:rRNA from 1 species